GAUGAACGCUGGCGGCGUGCCUAAUACAUGCAAGUCGAGCGAACGGACGAGAAGCUUGCUUCUCUGAUGUUAGCGGCGGACGGGUGAGUAACACGUGGAUAACCUACCUAUAAGACUGGGAUAACUUCGGGAAACCGUAGCUAAUACCGGAUAAUAUUUUGAACCGCAUGGUUCAAAAGUGAAAGACGGUCUUGCUGUCACUUAUAGAUGGAUCCGCGCUGCAUUAGCUAGUUGGUAAGGUAACGGCUUACCAAGGCAACGAUGCAUAGCCGACCUGAGAGGGUGAUCGGCCACACUGGAACUGAGACACGGUCCAGACUCCUACGGGAGGCAGCAGUAGGGAAUCUUCCGGAAUGGGCGAAAGCCUGACGGAGCAACGCCGCGUGAGUGCUGAAGGUCUUCGGAUCGUAAAACUCUGUUAUUAGGGAAGAACAUAUGUGUAAGUAACUGUGCACAUCUUGACGGUACCUAAUCAGAAAGCCACGGCUAACUACGUG
rnacentral:rRNA from 1 species